rnacentral:rRNA from 1 species
UACAGAGGUCUCAAGCGUUGUUCGGAUUCAUUGGGCGUAAAGGGUGCGUAGGCGGCGCGGGUAAGUCGGGUGUGAAAUCUCGGGGCUUAACUCCGAAACUGCAUUCGAUACUGCCGUGCUUGAGGACUGGAGAGGAGACUGGAAUUUACGGUGUAGCGGUGAAAUGCGUAGAUAUCGUAAGGAAGACCAGUGGCGAAGGCGGGUCUCUGGACAGUUCCUGACACUGAGACACGAAGGCCAGGGGAGCAAACGGG